CGGCGCCCCGAGGCGGCGGGCCCGGCGGGCGAGCGGAGAGCGAAAGGCCGCCGCGCAGCGGGGGUGCAGGGAGAGGGCCCGGCCGCCUCUUCCCCGGGCCGGCAGCCGCCGCCAAGGGCGGGAGGCUGCGCCUCAGGCGCCGGGGCCGAGGGUGCCUCACGCGGAGGAGGCAGCGGCCGCCUCGCUCUGUUGGAGCCGAGCCGGGCCGCCCUGAGGCAGCCUUUUUCGGUGUGAAAUGUUGAGGAUGCUGCAUGCGUUCGUGUUUGAAUGACUUAAUGAAGCAGCUUGACCAUCUCAUGCAGUAAAGUACAAGAGGAUGUAGCGAGGUUAGAUUUGUAAUUUGAAUUCUGCUGAACUUGUAUAUCUAAUUUUUAUUUCUGCUGGUGAUCACUUUUAUCCACCGAGCUUUUUAAACAGAAAUCAUCACUUCUUAGGUUAACAUGUGUUAUGACACUAGGAUAACUUCUCAAGGUAUUGCUCAAAAUGGAAUGUUCUAAUUUAGCAGUAGGCAGAAACCCACACAGGUAUUGUGUGUUUUCUUUUUCUGGUACCUGUUGACUCCCUUCUUAGCUUUUAAACCUGGAUCAUAUUAUAAAAGUCCCAGCUCUCUAGUCACUUAAAAUAUUUAUUGGCUUGUUAAACUGAACUACAUCUGCUGCUGUGAAGCCAAGAUUUGUUUUAGAAAUCUGUCACAGGACUCUGGUGUUCUUUAGCAGAAGACAUUAUAAAGCUAAUUUUGCCAUAGUUUCUUAAGAAAAUAGGUAACAAAAAGGCAGUGGAAACAGUGCAGUCCUCAUUCAGAACAGGUAGUCUUAUUCCUUUAAAGCAUUAAAGUAUUUCUAAACACACUCAUUAACCAUAGAACUUGCAUUUUUUUUGUAUGAUCAGCUGUGAAAAAGGUUGGCUUGGACAUGUUAAAACUUAAUUAAGACUGUUUGUCAGUCCAUUAAGAGGAACUAGUAUGGCAAGAUAGCUUUGUGAUGUCUCAUAGUACAAGCCCAAAAGGACAUUCACUGGUACUUAGAAAGUAGGAGUUUUGAAAAAUAGUAGGUGGAAAUACUUUUUCAAACCAUGUAAUUAGAAUGAAACUAGCUGCUGGAGGAAGUCAUUCAGCAAGAUUCAAAGCAAGCAGAUAUUUGUACGAAUACCAAAAUGGCCUAGUGCAUUUAUAACAAAAGCCAAAAAAACAUCUAGAAAAGAGAUUAAAGCAUAUGACUCAGGGUUCAAACUAAUCUUUAUGGGAAUAAGAACUGUACUUUUCUGCAUUACAGAAUAUUAAAAUAUGUCUUCCACAGUGGUCUUGUGCUCUCCUCGGGUUACCUGGUUCUGAGCUGUGUCAGGGAGAGGGUAUUGGACCAGCAGGAUUGCGAGCUUUGCCACAUGUCAGGUGGGAGUAUGUAAAAUCAUACUGUUAAUUUGACGUUGCUGUGAAGGCAAAAGUUCAAAGGUCCACUGCUGUAACCUGUUCCCCACAUUAUAAUGUAUGCCAUGAAAAGAGCAUCAGUUCUACGUGUGUGUGAAAUGGAAAAACGCUGAAUAAUGCCUUGUCUGCCUGCAUACACAUGAAGCAUUAGAAGCUUUGAAUGUGUAUUCGGUUCAAAGAAGAGGCUAGUUUAUUGGCAGCAGUGGGUUUUUCCCCUGACAGUGGAUUUCAGGCACUCUGUCAGACUGAGAUACUCUAGGUGCAUGUUUUCUUCACUUUACAGAGAAACUGAUGGAAAAAAAAAUGUAGAGUUGCCAGAAUGUUGCACGUUCUUGAAAUGGUAUACUCUGAAUGUUCAUCUGAAAGGCCAUUCUUUUUAUUUUAUGAUUUCUUCUCAACUCUUUUGAAGUCUUGCUGAUCCAUUAGCUUUGUGUUUAUAUGCUCAUUUAAAAUGACAUGCUUUGGAGUGACUUCCCUGUUUGUUGUAGAGAUUAAGUAUUGGUGAGUCCACCAGUUUCCCUUGAUAAGCUGUUUCAAAUAUCUGCGGUUAGGGGCUGUAUUUCGUUUCAGGUUUGAGUUUAACUUCCAGCUAUUGCAUCUAGCGCUUCUCAGCAAGAUUCAAAUGUCACGCACUGCUGGAGUUCCUCUUCCAUGUGUUGGGACCCACGUGCAGGGAUCAGGUCAUCCCUCAGAAUUCUGUUUCAUAAGCUAAAAUCCUAAAUCUUGCCUUGUGGGCUUUGCUUUUUCAGGGGGAAAGGGUUUGAUUCCCUGGAUAACUGGGGCAGGAGGGCAUGUCUUCCUUUAGGUUCUCUCUACUACAGCAUCCCCCUUGCAGAUACUACUUGGUACUCUGAGCACAGCAGUUCAAUCUAGUUUAUUUUGCCUAAGUGAAAACAACUGUGACAUGACUGAGAGAUAGUUGUUGUAUAAACAAAACAACUCUUGUUUGGGUUUAUAUUUUUAAAAUUACCUAUAUCCAGUAUUUGUUGUUUCUUUUGCUUGUCUGAAGGGAAUAAAUUUUGUUUAAUAGGUAAAUAGAACCAUGCACUUCAUUUAAAUGAGAAGCAGCUACGCAGCUAUGCUUGCUCCUUCAUGCCUAGACGUCUGUGAUCCAAUCUGUCUGUCCAGGAACAGCUAUAGACUUGCUGUUCUCGCUGCUGACACUUCAGCUGACAGGAAUCAGAAUUCAUAUGGUACUGUAUCCCCCUCCAGAAACAAAGGCAAGCACAAAUUUCGAUGAACCUUUAUGUAUGUUUGAUCUAGCACAGUGCGUCAUUGAAGAUUGUCAUGAAACAAUCCUCUGGGGAUAGAAAUACACAUCCACAAGUGGUCAAGUCCAGUUUUAGGAAGUUAAACCAUGGAGUAUCCAUACUAGCAAUCCCAUUGUGGCUACAUGGGGAGAGUUUGAUACAGGUUGAGGAAUUAAGAGUAUUAUGGUUUCUAUAUUGGCAUGAAGUUCUUGCAUAAAUAUCGUUACUCUGUUUCUGGCUGGCUUGAAAAUUCCACUGCGUUCUCGUAAAAAGGUAUAUAUACCCCAAUUGUUUUUGGUUUUGUUUUUCUAUUUUACUUAAACCAGUGCUGUACUAGAGAAGUACAGUCUCCUUAGUCCUGGAGUCUGCUGGAAAGCUCUAGCUAGUGCAGAACACUGUGCUGUUUCUCCACAGUGAUAUAAAGCAGCCAAUCUCACAUUUUCUUGUUUAUUGCAGCAAGAUUUUUGAUCCUAGUAAAUAUUCUGGUCUUUCUCCUCAAAGAAGGGUCCCGGGUUACUUAAACUUUAACUUGAAGUUACAUACUUGGGUCCCAGGUUACUAAAGUCCCAUAUAUAUCCUGGAAUAAGGAUUGCAAUUGUCAGCUAGACUUAUGGCAUGCUGAACUUCUCCAUGGUAUGGAUAAAGUAGAAAGUUGUCAGAUACAGAAUUUCUUCAGAGGCUGGUGUUGAACAGUGAAAUGGAUUCUGCUGAGAACUCGGGACCUCAAAAACCUUGCUUCAAGUAAAGCAGCGUUUUUCGAUCCAGCUUUUCUCCAAUAUGCAAACACAAUAGUGGUAUUAAAUAUAUUUAUAUAGAAGAAAACCUUUUGUACGCUCCAUUACAUACAUUUCUUUGCCUUGGGAACAUGUGAGAACAUUGUGACAGCCGUUACUCAGUUUUGUUGACUCACUGUUUUGAGGAUGUGCAACCAAUGUUGAUAAUGCACACCAUUUUUUGAGCAAGCUUAAUAAUGGACUGCUUGUACUAACAAUUUUAUUGUAGCUACCUGGAAAACACAGUUUUAGAGUAAUAAAAUGGCAUGAGUUCUACUAAAAUUUGGGCUUUUCUUGUGGCAUAUGGAAAUUGAAGAAAUAGUUUUUUUAUGCUUUGUUGGGGUAUGUGCAAGUAUGUAAAUUCUUUAGUUGCUGUAAGAUACUCGGGAAGGAGUGAACUUGUAGAGUGGGCGAGUUCUCCGCGUACCACUGGUACCUACCACACAUGGUAUUUGUUCAGGCAAAUCCACGAGAGUUUGAAGUGAGCAGUAAAUCGUUAUGUGUGCAGAAAAGUGCUUAGUUAGUGGAUGUACUGUAAAGCGACAGAUGAAGACCUGGCUCCUCUUCCUCUCUUAGUAUUGGUUUGGCCUCUGGCAGGUCCUAUAUUGAAUUGGGGGUGUGGGGAGAUUUAAUGUAGCAUUUUAUAACUGAGUUUUCAAAAAUUGUUUAUGCAGAGGGUCUACUGCAUGUGUUAAUGUUAAACUGAAGCAGAAGUUCAUGAUGACAUGUGUAAAGUCUAGUCAACCUUGUGUAUUUUCUAGGCAAAUCAUGCUGUGAUUCACCGAAAACAUUUAAUGUUCUAUUGCAAAAUACUUGCUUACAAGAGAUCUUUUGUUCUGCAGGCUUUGGAUUUUUCACUGUUUAUGAUUUUGUCUAUAUGAAAAUGUAAAAUGAUGACAUUUAAUAAAAUAUAUACACCAUUA